rnacentral:rRNA from 1 species
CACCGGCGCCACAAGUGGGAAUCAAAUUUACUGGGUCUAAAGCGUCCGUAGCCCGUUGGAAAAGUUUUAUGUGAAAUUGUUGGGCUUAACCUAACAACGUGCAUAGAAAACUGUCCGACUAGAGACCGGGAGGAGACAAGGGUACAUUAGGGGGAGUGGUAAAAUAUGAUAAUCCCUGAUGGACAGCCAAUGGCGAAGGCAUUUGUCUAGAACGGGUCUGACAGUGAGGGACGAAAGCUAGGGGAGCAAUCCG